rnacentral:rRNA from 1 species
GCUUACGGCCACACCGGCCUGAGUACAACUGAUCUCGUCUGAUCUCGGAAGCUAAGCAGGGUCGGGCCUGGUUAGUACUUGGAUGGGAGACCGCCUGGGAAUACCAGGUGCUGUAAGCU